AAAUGAAUAGACGGGGGCCCGCACAAGCAGUGGAGUAUGUGGUUUAAUUCGAAGCAACGCGAAGAACCUUACCAGGGCUUGACAUACCAUUGACAGGUCUAGAGAUAGAUCCUCCCUUCGGGGCAAUGGAUACAGGUGGUGCAUGGUUGUCGUCAGCUCGUGUCGUGAGAUGUUGGGUUAAGUCCCGCAACGAGCGCAACCCCUGUUGUUAGUUGCCAUCAUUAAGUUGGGCACUCUAACAAGACUGCCGGUGACAAAUCGGAGGAAGGUGGGGAUGACGUCAAAUCAUCAUGCCCCUUAUGUCCUGGGCUACACACGUACUACAAUGGCGACUACAGCGUGAGGCAAUACCGCGAGGUGGAGCAAAUCACCAAAAGUCGUCCCAGUUCAGAUUGCAGGCUGAAACUCGCCUGCAUGAAGUCGGAAUUGCUAGUAAUGGCAGGUCAGCAUACUGCCGUGAAUACGUUCCCGGGCCUUGUACACACCGCCCGU
rnacentral:rRNA from 1 species